GUCCAAAAUGGCAAAGUCAA
rnacentral:snRNA from 1 species